GAAGAACCUUACCAAAUCUUGACAUCCUUUGAAAACUCUAGAGAUAGAGCCUUCCCUUUCGGGGGUCAAAGUCACAGGUGGUGCAUGGUUGUUGUCAGCUCGUGUCGUGAGAUGUUGGGUUAAGUCCCGCAACGAGCGCACCCCUUAAGUUUAGUUGCCAUCAUUAAGUUGGGCACUCUAGGUAGACUGCCGGUGACAAACCGGAGGAAGGUGGGGAUGACGUCAAAUCAUCAUGCCCCUUAUGAUUUGGGCUACACACGUGCUACAAUGGCCAAUACAAAGGGCAGCUAACCCGCGAGGUCAAGCAAAUCNCAUAAAGUNGUUCUCAGUUCGGAUUGUAGUCUGCAACUCGACUCCAUGAAGUCUGGAAUCGCUACUAAUC
rnacentral:rRNA from 1 species